rnacentral:tRNA from 1 species
GGGGUGUUAGCUCAGUUGGUAGAGCAGCGGACUCUUAAUCCGUAGGUCGAGUGUUCGAGUCACUCACGCCCCACCA